rnacentral:misc_RNA from 1 species
AACGAGGCCGACCUGCGGCUGAGUUACCUGCGGAAGGAUCAUUAUCGAGUUGCAAAACUCCAACCCUUUGUGAACAUACCUCAGUCGUUGCUUCGGCGGUGGACGGCCUGUUUUUCGGAACGGCCGGAAGCCGCCGGAGGUUCCAAACUCGUAUUUUUUAGUGUAUCUCUGAGCCUGAAAACAAAUAAUCAAAACUUUUAGCAACGGAUCU